rnacentral:rRNA from 1 species
UACAGAGGGGGCAAGCGUUGUUCGGAAUUACUGGGCGUAAAGGGCGCGUAGGCGGCAGAUCAAGUCAGCUGUGAAAUCUCCGAGCUUAACUCGGAACGGUCAGCUGAUACUGUUUUGCUAGAGUACAGAAGGGGCAAUCGGAAUUCUUGGUGUAGCGGUGAAAUGCGUAGAUAUCAAGAGGAACACCUGAGGUGAAGACGGGUUGCUGGGCUGAUACUGACGCUGAGGCGCGAAAGCUAGGGUAGCAAACGGG